UGGCUUAAUUUGAUUCAGCACGGGAAAACUCACAUGGCCUGUACAUGGAAAGGAUUGACAGAUGGAAAACUGUUUCUCAGUUCUGUGGGUAGUGGUACAUGGCCAUUCUUAGUUGGUGGAGCAAUUUGUCUGGUUAAUUCUGAUAAUGAAUGAGACUCUGACAUGCUAACUAGUUAUGGGACCCCUGAGCAGUCAGCGUCCAACUUUUUCAUUCAUAGAAUCACAGAAUUGUAGAGUUGGAAGGGACCUGGGGGUCAUCUAGUUCAAUCCCCUGCAAUGUAGGAAUCUCAUCCAUGACAGGCAACUAGCCAACCUCUGCAUA